rnacentral:antisense_RNA from 1 species
UUUAUAUUCUGAACACUAUUUGGGAUGAGUACUUCGAGUCGUACUAUUAUUUGUUCUAUAGUCCAUUUGCUAUCUGUCUUGCUCUCUCGUAUAUAAAUGAAAUCACCGUUACCGAAAUAAUUAGUAUAUAUGGGAUUUUUUUAAUUAUUAUUUUCGUGUAUUCAAUUGAGCGUUUGCGACAAAAUCUUAAAACUAUUGAAAUUGUGAAUAUUAUUCCUAUCCAUGUUGAAAUUAUGACUCUUGUUUGGUCCCCCUCUUGGAAGGAAAUUGGGAAAAUGAGAGGCGAGUACAUAAGCGUUCGAUUAGGAAUGCUAAGAAAAUUAUAUAUUAUCGGUAAAAGAAACAAAAGAUCCAGGUAAUAUUUUUGUAUUUUUAGUAAAGAAUCAGUAAAUGCCAUUGUAAAACCAGUAAAAUAGUAAACAAGGAAAAGAAAAAAUGUAUUGAAGAAUACAGCUCCAUUGUUGAAAGCUGAGUUAGGAAUUCCAGAAGUCAAGUAUUUGUAAAGUGAUAUAUAUAUAAUAUUCAUGAAAAUGCAAAUUCCACUUAUACUUAUUUCUUUUUGAAUAAAUUUUAGUGAGUAGAUCAAGAAUAUACUCGAAUAAAAUAAAGUAUAUAAAAUAUAUAGAUUGGCACUAUAUGAAAAAUAAAAGAAAAUAUUAAUUAUUAAAAAGUAUAUUAUUACGUUAGAAAUUAUAUAUGGAAGGU